CACAGAUCUCUUAAGAACUUUCUGUCUCCAAACCGUGGCUGCUCGAUAAAUCAGACAGAACAGUUAAUCCUCAAUUUAAGCCUGAUCUAACCCUUAGAAACAGGAAUUAAGGAUAACCUAGAUGACAUAAAGAGGAUAAUUAAAGCCAGAGAGCACAGAAAUAGGCUUCUAGCAGACAUCAGAGACUACAAGCCCUAUGCAGACUUGGUUUCAGAAAUUCGUAUUCUUUUGGUGGGUCCAAUUGGGUCUGGAAAGUCCAGUUUUUUCAAUUCAGUCAAGUCUAUUUUUCAUGGCCAUGUGACUGGCCAAGCCGUAGUGGGGUCUGAUAUCACCAGCAUAACCGAGCGGUAUAGGAUAUAUUCUGUUAAAGAUGGAAAAAAUGGAAAAUCUCUGCCAUUUAUGUUGUGUGACACUAUGGGGCUAGAUGGGGCAGAAGGAGCAGGACUGUGCAUGGAUGACAUUCCCCACAUCUUAAAAGGUUGUAUGCCAGACAGAUAUCAGUUUAAUUCCCGUAAACCAAUUACACCUGAGCAUUCUACUUUUAUCACCUCUCCAUCUCUGAAGGACAGGAUUCACUGUGUGGCUUAUGUCUUAGACAUCAACUCUAUUGACAAUCUCUCCUCUAAAAUGUUGGCAAAAGUCAAGCAAGUUCACAAAGAAGUAUUAAACUGUGGUAUAGCAUAUGUGGCCUUGCUUACUAAAGUGGAUGAUUGCAGUGAGGUUCUUCAAGACAACUUUUUAAACAUGAGUAGAUCUAUGACUUCUCAAAGCCAGGUCAUGAAUGUCCAUAAAAUGCUAGGCAUUCCUAUUUCCAAUAUUUUGAUGGUUGGAAAUUAUGCUUCAGAUUUGGAACUGGACCCCAUGAAGGAUAUUCUGAUCCUCUCUGCACU
rnacentral:sRNA from 1 species